rnacentral:lncRNA from 10 species
AUAAGAUAGCUUCUCAGCUUUCAGCUUUACUUCACGGUUUUAACUAUCAAAAGAAGCAAGCCAUCUGAAGAUUUGCCUGAGACUGAAGGAUCCACUUCUGCGACGACUCCCUCAGGACUUAUAAUGCAGAUGGAACCAGAUUGAGAAAAACCAGCCAACCAACCAACCAACAUGAUGGCUGAACCAGACAAGAGAAGUCCCGAAGUAAAAUACCCACCAAUUACCAGAAUCUGUGCCUGCCAUACAUCGAAGUCUCUGACUUCUUUAUUCCACAUGACUCUGCAAAUCUACGUCUGAACUUAUAUUCUCCUGAAACCAGAACGGAUGAAACUCAUUAGAUGCUCCAGCCUGGGGGAUUAAUGUUUACCUUGAUUUAAUGUCUCAUCAGAAGCAUGACAUCCACAGCACUCUGGCUGCAGCAGGAUUAAAUGAAGCAUGGCCGUUUCUUCAAGAGAGACUUAAACUUCAAGCCUUUAGCCCUAGAGGGAAUGGGCAGGAGAUGAAGAGAGAGUAAAAAUCUAUUGAACUACCAA